UGAACAUUGAGCCUUGAUGUGUAGGAUAGGUGGGAGGCUUUGAAGUGUGGACGCCAGUCUGCAUGGAGCCGACCUUGAAAUACCACCCUUUAAUGUUUGAUGUUCUAACGUUGACCCGUAAUCCGGGUUGCGGACAGUGUCUGGUGGGUAGUUUGACUGGGGCGGUCUCCUCCUAAAGAGUAACGGAGGAGCACGAAGGUUGGCUAAUCCUGGUCGGACAUCAGGAGGUUAGUGCAAUGGCAUAAGCCAGCUUGACUGCGAGCGUGACGGCGCGAGCAGGUGCGAAAGCAGGUCAUAGUGAUCCGGUGGUUCUGAAUGGAAGGGCCAUCGCUCAACGGAUAAAAGGUACUCCGGGGAUAACAGGCUGAUACCGCCCAAGAGUUCAUAUCGACGGCGGUGUUUGGCACCUCGAUGUCGGCUCAUCACAUCCUGGGGCUGAAGUAGGUCCCAAGGGUAUGGCUGUUCGCCAUUUAAAGUGGUACGCGAGCUGGGUUUAGAACGUCGUGAGACAGUUCGGUCCCUAUCUGCCGUGGGCGCUGGAGAACUGAGGGGGGCUGCUCCUAGUACGAGAGGACCGGAGUGGACGCAUCACUGGUGUUCGGGUUGUCAUGCCAAUGGCACUGCCCGGUAGCUAAAUGCGGAAGAGAUAAGUGCUGAAAGCAUCUAAGCACGAAACUUGCC
rnacentral:rRNA from 1 species